rnacentral:rRNA from 1 species
UACGUAGGGUGCAAGCGUUAAUCGGAAUUACUGGGCGUAAAGCGCACGUAGGCGGCUUUGCAAGUCAGAGGUGAAAGCCCGGGGCUCAACCCCGGAAUUGCCUUUGAGACUGCAUCGCUUGAACAUCGGAGAGGUAAGUGGAAUUCCGAGUGUAGAGGUGAAAUUCGUAGAUAUUCGGAAGAACACCAGUGGCGAAGGCGACUUACUGGACGAUUGUUGACGCUGAGGUGCGAAAGCGUGGGG